rnacentral:RNase_P_RNA from 2 species
GAGAGGGAGCAAGCGGUCGACGGUGCGUAUGCGCUGAGGAAAGUCCUCCCACCGCUCAGACAGCACAGCCGUAUGCAAGUACGGGUGGCGAGAGUCACAGCUCUGGAACAGAAACGAUACACUCCUGACGGAGCAAUGAGGCAGAAAAUGCCGAGCGCUGAAGUCGGGGAAUGUGAUGGAACGGCGAAUCUCUGUGGGUGAAAGUUGAAACAGGACUGCUACGGAAUCUGUCUGAUCCAAUAGUCCGGGUACAACGCUAAGCCGAAUGCCGCGAAAACAGAAGGAGGCUUAUUACUCCGACUC